rnacentral:rRNA from 1 species
UACGGGGGGAGCAAGCGUUGUUCGGAUUUACUGGGCGUAAAGGGCGCGUAGGCGGUCAGCACAAGUCAGUUGUGAAAUCUCCGGGCUUAACUCGGAAAGGUCAACUGAUACUGUGCGGCUAGAGUGCGGAAGGGGCAACUGGAAUUCUCGGUGUAGCGGUGAAAUGCGUAGAUAUCGAGAGGAACACCUGCGGCGAAGGCGGCCCCCUGGUUGGAUACUGACGCUGAGACGCGAAAGCGUGGGGAGCAAACAGG